UACGUAGGGGGCAAGCGUUGUCCGGAUUUACUGGGCGUAAAGAGCGCGUAGGCGGACGUUUAAGUGUGGCCUGAAAGCCCCCGGCUCAACCGGGGAUCCGGGUUGCAAACUGGACGUCUUGAGGGGGAUAGGGGAAGGUGGAAUUCCUGGUGUAGCGGUGAAAUGCGCAGAUAUCGGGAAGAACACCCGUGGCGAAGGCGGUUCUCUGGGACGGUACUGACGCUGAGACGCGAAAGCGUGGGGAGCGAACAGG
rnacentral:rRNA from 1 species